rnacentral:lncRNA from 1 species
CUCAUCACACAGAGCUGCAGCUGUGAUCACCUUGUGCUCUGAGGGGAGGCAGCUCACACCUUCCCCACAGGCAGAGGGGAAUUCUCCCCCAGCAUGAACAGAGUUAAAGGAAGAAAGUGGGAAUUUUCAAGUGUCAAUUGGAGUUGUAACUAUGUGUGACAAGGAGCUGUGCUGGGAGAUUGAAGCGAGUGAUUUCUCUCCUCUGUAACCAAGUGGAAGCAAAGAAAUCAGGUUCAAAAGUUCUCCUGUACUUGGAAGUCACAAUAUGCACUGCUGAACCCCUAAAAUGUUGUGGAUGCCCUGGUUUCUUCAGAGGAUAAGAAUUCUAGAUUUCUGAGCUGAAAGAGCUUUAUUAUGAAGUGACAUGUCUGGCUUUAGAGACAGAGGUGGAAUUGGUACAUCUGAAAUUAAUGAAUAAUAUAUAAAGACUGAUACCAGCUUUGCUUCAUGAGUUGGCCUUACUAUUUAGCCUCAAGCAGAAGCAAGAAACACACACACACAAAAAAAAAAGGUUGUUAA